GUGCACCAGGCGCGAAACCUUCGCAAUGCAGGAAACUGCGACGAGGGAACUCCAAGUGCCUACGCUCAGCGUAGGCUGUUCUCAAGCCUAGAAAGCUUGAGGAGUAAGGGCUGGGUAAGACGGGUGCCAUCUGUGGUAGCAGUCAAUAGAUUCGAUUUGUUACUGCAAGGCAUAAGCCGCCGCGGUAAUACCCGCAGCCCAAGUGGUGGCCGCUUUUAUUGGGCCUAAAGCGUCCGUAGCCGGCCCGGUAAAUGCCUGGGGUAAAUCGUGGAGCCCAACUUCACGAAUUCCGGGUAGACUGCCGAGCUCGGGACCGGAAGAGGGAGAGGGUACUUCAGGGGUAGGGGUGAAAAUUUCCUUUCCAUUAACGCUUUUGCGCGAAGCGGAAAGGGUUAUCACAAUCCUGUAAUCCCUGGAGGACCACCCGUGGCGAAGGCGCUCUCCUAAGACGGGUCCGACGGUGAGGGACGAAAGGCCAGGGGAGCAAACCGGGAUUACGGAUACCCCCGUAGUCCCUAAGACUGCCCAAGGCCACACAGGGGAUAGG
rnacentral:rRNA from 1 species